rnacentral:lncRNA from 1 species
GGACUGGAGUCAAUAAGAAACAUUUAAGAAAAGAUAGAAACAGACGUAUCGUUGUCCAAAGAGUGAAGAAGACAAACUAACCACAAGCAAUGCUCGUCUAUUUUAAUGACCUGUCACAAGUCUAAUACAGCCACAAAACAUUAAAAAAAAGGAAGAAGCUUGUUUAUGAGGUGCCAAAGGUUAUGGACAUCUAUCUGAUUCACGCACGGAAUGGUCACCAUCCCCGAGCACCUCUUUCGAAGCCAAUUGUUUGGUCGGCACCUUUGAUUCCUUUCUCUGUAUCUGUCCAAGUGCUGCUCGCCCUUUCUCAAGUACUUUCUAAUCCUCUAUCCAUCUCUCCAUUUUUAUUUUUCUACUUUUACUGUUAUAAUAAGUUUUUUAAAUUAUUUUUAUUACAUUAAAUUACAUAUAAGACAUCCUUAUAUAAACAUAUCAUUAUAUUGCCACGACUAUAUAGACGCUUAUUCUAUAUACAAACUAGAAAUAGACAAAAGGAUACCAAUAAAAUAAAGAGACACCGCAAUAAGAAUCGGAUUUGGUAAAGUAUUUUCCUCAAACGAGCUUGGAGGAUCGGAUAAGAGUUUUGUAAAGAGACCACUGCUCCUGAAAUGAAAACCAAUCGUCGUGCUUUCAAUUAAUAAAACCAAUCAUGCAUACCGUUUUCUAAAGUGUUCAAUGAGGAGACAACAUAAGUAAUUGUCAGUUCACGCAUAUUACUUACCGUACGCAGAAGGAGGCGUAGGUACGUCGGUCGAUGGUCACUUGAUCUCCUUCCUGGCCAUCAUAUAAAGGGAGGCCUUCAGGUGCUCAUCUAAGACCACCAAGGGUACG